GUCCACAAAGCAAUAGUUGCCAAUGAUAACUAUGCUCCGGCUCGUCUCGCCGCUUAAUGCGGUCGGAUGAACCGAUUUCUAUAGUCCUCGGGAUUUAGCAUCCCGGGGCGGGGUUCGGGAGGCACCUGGCAACAGAAGCCUCCCACU
rnacentral:tmRNA from 1 species